GACGAACGCUGGCGGCGUGCUUAACACAUGCAAGUCGAACGGAAAGGCCCUGCUUUUGUGGGGUGCUCGAGUGGCGAACGGGUGAGUAACACGUGAGUAACCUGCCCUUGACUUUGGGAUAACUUCAGGAAACUGGGGCUAAUACCGGAUAGGAGCUCCUGCUGCAUGGUGGGGGUUGGAAAGUUUCGGCGGUUGGGGAUGGACUCGCGGUUUAUCAGCUUGUUGGUGGGGUAGUGGCUUACCAAGGCUUUGACGGGUAGCCGGCCUGAGAGGGUGACCGGCCACAUUGGGACUAAGAUACGGACCAGACUGCUACGGGAGGCAGCAGGCGGGAGUAUUGCACAAUGGGCGGAAGCCAGAUGCAACAACGCCGCGUGCGGGAUGACGGCCUUCGGGUGGUGAACCGCUUUCGCCUGUGACGAAGCGUGAGUGACGGUAAUGGAUAAAGAAGCACCGGCUAACUACGUG
rnacentral:rRNA from 1 species